UACUUAGGGGGCAAGCGUUGUCCGGAUUUAUUGGGCGUAAAGAGCGUGUAGGCGGUUAGGUAGGUCCGUUGUGAAAACUCGAGGCUCAACCUCGAGACGCCGAUGGAAACCCCCUAACUAGAGUCCGGAAGAGGAGAGUGGAAUUCCUGGUGUAGCGGUGAAAUGCGCAGAUAUCAGGAAGAACACCCGUGGCUAAGGCGGCUCUCUAGUACGGUACUGACGCUGAGACGCGAAAGCGUGGGGAGCGAACAGG
rnacentral:rRNA from 1 species